rnacentral:rRNA from 1 species
GUUGAACGCUGGCGGCAGGCCUAACACAUGCAAGUCGAACGGUAACAGGAAGAAGCUUGCUUCUUUGCUGACGAGUGGCGGACGGGUGAGUAAUGUCUGGGAAACUGCCUGAUGGAGGGGGAUAACUACUGGAAACGGUAGCUAAUACCGCAUAACGUCGCAAGACCAAAGAGGGGGACCUUCGGGCCUCUUGCCAUCGGAUGUGCCCAGAUGGGAUUAGCUUGUUGGUGGGGUAACGGCUCACCAAGGCGGACGGAUCCCUAGCUGGUCUGAGAGGAUGACCAGCCACACUGGAACUGAGACACGGUCCAGACUCCUACGGGAGGCAGCAGUGGGGAUAUUGCACAAUGGGCGCAAGCCUGAUGCAGCCAAUGCCGCGUGUAUGAAGAAGGCCUCGGUU